rnacentral:rRNA from 1 species
CCUACGGGUGGCAGCAGUGAGGAAUAUUGGUCAAUGGGCGCGAGCCUGAACCAGCCAAGUAGCGUGAAGGAUGACUGCCCUAUGGGUUGUAAACUUCUUUUAUAUGGGAAUAAAGUGCAGUAUGUAUACUGCUUUGCAUGUACCUUAUGAAUAAGGAUCGGCUAACUCCGUGCCAGCAGCCGCGGUAAUACGGAGGAUCCGAGCGUUAUCCGGAUUUAUUGGGUUUAAAGGGAGCGUAGGCGGGUUGUUAAGUCAGUUGUGAAAGUUUGCGGCUCAACCGUAAAAUUGCAGUUGAAACUGGCGUUCUUGAGUGGGCGAGAAGUAUGCGGAAUGCGUGGUGUAGCGGUGAAAUGCAUAGAUAUCACGCAGAACUCCGAUUGCGAAGGCAGAAUACCGGCGCCCAACUGACGCUGAAGCACGAAAGCGUGGGUAUCGAACAGGAUUAGAUACCCUUGUAGUC